rnacentral:rRNA from 1 species
UACGUAGGGUGCGAGCGUUGUCCGGAAUUAUUGGGCGUAAAGAGCUCGUAGGCGGUGUGUCGCGUCCGCCGUGAAAACCUGCAGCUUAACUGUGGGCUUGCGGUCGAUACGGGCAUCACUGGAGUUCGGCAGGGGAGACUGGAAUUCCUGGUGUAGCGGUGAAAUGCGCAGAUAUCAGGAGGAACACCGGUGGCGAAGGCGGGUCUCUGGGCCGAUACUGACGCUGAGGAGCGAAAGCGUGGGGAGCGAACAGG